UUUCGAAAAGGAAAUCCGUGAUAUUCCUGUGGUGGAUUCGAGUACGGAGACAAAGAGUAGCGCUUUAAUCUCUCUGUGGGGUUGGCGUUCAACUCAAUCGCGCGGUAACGCAAGCGAACUCGGAAAAUGACCGUCGUGAGUUUCGAAAAGAGUUUUCUUUUCUUUUUAAGGGACGCAUUCCCUGGAACCGGGUUGUCCGGAGAUAGGGAUUCUGGUAUCCAUAAAACGCCGACUUUUUCACGGUGUUCGGAGCGCUCUCGUCGGUACGUGAAAAUCCGAGCGACGCCUGGUAAAUCUCGUACUUGGUCGUACUGAUAUCCGCAGCAGGUCUCCAAGGUGAAUAGCCUCUGGCCGAUAGAAUAAUGUAGGUAAGGGAAGUCGGCAAAACGGAUCCGUAACUUCGGAACAAGGAUUGGCUCUAAGGGCUGGGCCGAUCGGGCUGAGGUUUCAAGCGUGCAGUGUAU
rnacentral:ncRNA from 1 species